CCUACGCGUGGCAGCAGUGGGGAAUAUUGCACAAUGGGGGAAACCCUGAUGCAGCGACGCCGCGUGAGUGCGGAAGUAUUUCGGUAUGUAAAGCUCUAUCAGCAGGGAAGAAAAUGACGGUACCUGACUAAGAAGCCCCGGCUAAUGCCGUGCCAGCAGCCGCGGUACUACGUAGGGGGCAAGCGUUAUCCGGAUUUACUGGGUGUAAAGGGAGCGUAGACGGAAUUGCAAGUCUGAUGUGAAAAUCCGGGGCCCAACCCCAGAAACGCAUUUGAAAAGGUAUUUCUAGAGUAUUGGAGAGGCAAGUGGAAUUCCUGGUGGAGCGGUGAAAUGCGUAGAUAUCAGGAGGAACACAAGGGGCGAAGGCGGCUUGCUGGAAGAUGACUGACGUUGAGGCUCGAAAGCGUGGGGAGCAAACAGGAGUAGAUACCCGGGUAGUC
rnacentral:rRNA from 1 species